GGAAGACAUAAUUCAACUCACUACUCCAGUCUUCCCUAACUCGGCUAUAUAUCAGACCCUCUUGGGGAUCUUAUAAAGGUUACAUGUUAUUAUAAUUUCUGUUCCAGAAUCCCAGUAGGUUGCUCGGUGCCUGGUUCUGACGCUAUCCCUCAGAGCCUGUGGAAGUUGCUGAUGCCAGGAUGCAGUUGCUCUCCUAAAGCAGAGUGGGAGAUCCUGAGGAAGGGAGCCUCCUGCUUGUGCGUCUGCGGUUUUGACUGGAAUGCCAGGCUUAACGUUGCUCAGAAGUUGCUUCUAUGAGGACGUCUCCCAGCAGCUGUCAGUGUUUCCAAUGAGUCAUCGCCAGCCCCUGCAAUGAGCCUCUCAGGCUGGUAAGUUUUGUUUCAGAACCGCUUCCUCAAGCUUCUUUUGCCUUUAAAAGCUUCCUCUUGCCCCAGCCUCCCAGGGAAUGCCUGUGGUCUGUCAUGGCUCACACAUCCUGGUUGAUAAUCCACUGCUGUUCUCCACGGAAUGCCUUCAUUUUGAGAGCUGCUCGCUGCCUGUUGUGGUUUCAGUUGACGGCCCACCGCUGUGUGCAGAGUUCACCAGCCGCUGUGGUGUGCAGUGCAGCAGCUGACCUGCCUGCCUUGUGGUUUUCUAAUCCCAUUGAGGGGACGUCUUAGGUGUUCUCACCAAGAAUGCACAGCAACAGUGCUGGGUGGGCCACAUCCUCCCUCACGUUUGGUGCCACCAGUUUUAUAGAUUUUGGCUACUGUGGGUGUGUGUGGUGGUUUUUGUUGGUGUUUACGACGCAUCUUCCUGGUGCUCGAGUCUGUCGAGCACUUUUUCUUGUGUUUAUUUGCCAUCAUUUGGCGAAGUGUUCAAAUCCUUUGACCGUUGUUUCACCAAGUUGUUUUAUUAUGAAAUUUUAGGGGUUACUUAUUCUGGAUCUCAGCACUUGGAUAAAUAUUUGAGAAUAUUUUUUGCAGUAAGUGACAUCGUUUUAUGUGGAUGAACAGAAGAUUUUAAUUUUGAUAAAGUCUAAUGGAUAUAUGUGAUGUUAGUGUAAUUUGAAUGCAUACAUAUGUAUAUUUAAUGCAUUCUUUUAUGAUGAUUGUGCACUUCAUAUGAAAUGCGGCAACCUUGCCUUGCCAUCCCGGAGGCCUCUGCUUCUCUGAUCUGUGGGUGUCACAGGCACUUCACUUACUCACACCUUAUGGCACGGUUUCUUUUGCUCUAAGCCUGCACGUGUGUUUUAAAGGUAAUUUCUUCCGUUAGAGAAGUCGCGUAGGCUCACCCUGCUAUUUGCCAUUUCUGGAGCUCUUUAUCUCCUUCUUCAUAUCUGCAUUUCCCUCUGGAAUCAUUUCCAUUCAGCCUGAAGAACUCUUCUGCCUGGGACUCCACCUUCUUUUCUAGCAGCUGGGCUCAUUGGGAGCUCUGUCCUCUGGUGGCUCUGGCCAGGGGACGCUGGGUUUUCUCUUAGGGUUUCAGUUGGCCCGUGUGGUGCCAAUGUCAACGUGUCUGUAGGCCAGAGCCAGCAAUGAGCACCCCCUCGGUCUGGCCCUGAGCUCCAAGGCCCCACUCCCACGGGAUCUUGCUGCCAGGACCCCACUCUCUGCAUCUUGUCCAGAGUGUCGAGGAGGGCAGGGUCCAGCGGGAUCUCUCGGCCCUCCCAGGGCUGAGUCUGUGCUCUGACCUUUCCUGGGAGGCACUCAGGGCCAACAGAGCAACAAGGGGCCUUUCCCUGUGGCUCCCUCCCCUCUGGAGAAAAUGGGUCAGACCUGGGUUUCUCCAUAGUCACUGUCCCUAAAAUGAAGCCGGGCUGCCAGAGGCGGUUGCAUCUCCCGGCACCAAGACCCCAGAGUCCCUGUGAGAAAGAGGACCAACGACGAUGGAAGCCUUUCUCUAAUGUGCGCACAGCCAGGCCGCUCCUCUGAAGGCGCUGAGCCGCCUCUAAUCACAGCGCCACACUGGCCACAGGUCGCUGGGUAUAGGAUGAACCCAGCUGUGAAUAGGAUGCAUUUCCUGGGAGGUUUCUGUGAAGUUACUGAACUGCCAAAAGGUAAGCAGUUUUAAUUGAUUUGUGAGUCUUCAAUUAAGCACAGCAGAAUGCUAAUUAAAUAUUCUCUGUUCUUUAAAUAGAGAAUGCUUUAAAUAAUUCAGCACAAUCUUUGCAUAAAUCACACCAUUCAGCUGAGGUGCCUGUCAGCAGUCAAGUGAUUGAGAGCACAAACUGUCCCAAAGACACAGCCCCCUUCCCCCUGGAGACGCGCACAGCCUGCAGAAGAGAUGUCACCUGAUGCAGCGUUGUGGUUUAAAAACUCAUUAUGGGAAGCAUGAGGCUGGACCCAGGGGACCCUGGAGGUGAUGCAGGGGCUUUGGCAGCCUGGAAGCUGUUGGAGGAGGGGCCCUUGGUGGAAGUGGGGACAGUUUGAGCCUCCGGCCUCCAAUUCCCUCCCGCUGGCUUCUGGGCCGCACCUCCAGGAAUCCAGCUAGACCCGCAGGGCUCUGACUCCAGACUUUAUUAAAUGUUUCCUCUAACGGUUCUGGCCAUUCUGCUGGGCCAUUAAAGGCUACCCCAGGGCCUCAGAUAUGAGCGUGGUGUCUGUAUGUGGUCCUUUCAUGGAGGGCAGGAAGCAUCAUAAUUACUUUUUUUUUUAACGGUUUUCAAUUUGUGUUGACAAAGAGCCUUAGUGAAUCUGUUGGAAGAAGAGUGACUUCAAAAUGAACCUGACUCCCUGUAUGUUAGGAGUCCAUAUUCUCUGAUACAGUUAACGUUUUCCUUCCAACCUCUUCACUGUUCAAGCAAAGUGGUAUUUUAGCUAUUCACUGUUUGACACUUUAAUAGGAGUUUUGAUGAGCAAUUUCAGGAUGUGGAAUUGCUACACUGCACCAGGUUCCUGCAGGAGCAGCAGCCUCAGCCUGUGGAUGGGACGUGAGAUCUUGGUGUUUCUCCUGGAGGAAACGCUGUGCUGCUGUGUUGAUGACGGGGCGUGUGUGGGGUUGAUGAUGGGUGAUGGAGUGUGGGGUUGGUGACAGGUGACGGAGUGUGGGGUUGACGACGGGUGAUGGAGUGUGGGGAUGAUGAUGGGUGAUGGAGUGUGGGGAUGAUGACGGGUGAUGGAGUGUGGGGAUGAUGAUGGGUGAUGGAGUGUGGGGAUGAUGAUGGGUGAUGGAGUGUGGGGAUGAUGACGGGUGAUGGAGUGUGGGGAUGAUGAUGGGUGAUGGAGUGUGGGGAUGGUGAUGGAGUGUGGGGAUGGUGAUGGAGUGUGGGGAUGAUGAUGGGUGAUGGAGUGUGGGGAUGAUGAUGGAGUGUGGGGAUGAUGACGGGUGAUGGAGUGUGGGGAUGAUGAUGGGUGAUGGAGUGUGGGGAUGGUGAUGGAGUGUGGGGAUGGUGAUGGAGUGUGGGGAUGAUGAUGGGUGAUGGAGUGUGGGGAUGAUGAUGGAGUGUGGGGAUGAUGACGGGUGAUGGAGUGUGGGGUUGACGACGGGGCGUGGGGUUGAUGAUGGAGUGUGGGGAUGAUGAUGGGUAUGGAGUGUGGGGAUGAUGAUGGGUAUGGAGUGUGGGGUUGAUGACGGGUGAUAGAGGAGUGUGGGGAUGUGAUGGGUGAUGGAGUGUGGGGAUGAUGAUGGAAUGUGGGAUUGAUGACGGAUGAUGGAGUGUGGGGAUGAUGAUGGGUGAUGGAGUGUGGGGAUGAUGAUGGAGUGUGGGGUUGAUGAUGGGUGAUGGAGUGUGGGGUUGAUGAUGGGUGAUGGAGUGUGGGGAUGAUGUUGGGUGAUGAAGUGCGGGGAUGAUGAUGGAGUGUGGUGAUGAUGACAGGUGACGGAGUCUGGGGUUGAUGACGGGGCGUGGGGUUGAUGAUGGAGUGUGGGGAUGAUGAUGGGUAUGGAGUGUGGGGAUGAUGAUGGAUAUGGAGUGUGGGGUUGAUGACGGGUGAUACAGUGUGGGGAUGUGAUGGGUGAUGGAGUGUGGGGAUGAUGAUGGGUAUGGAGUGUGGGAUUGAUGACGGGUGAUGGAGUGUGGGGAUGAUGAUGGGUAAUGAAGUGUGGGGAUGAUGAUGGAGUGUGGUGAUGAUGACAGGUGACGGAGUGUGGGGUUGAUGACGGGGCGUGGGGUUGAUGAUGGAGUGUGGGGAUGAUGACGGGUGACCGAGUGUGGGGUUGAUGACGGGGCGUGGGGUUGAUGAUGGGGUGUGGGGAUGAUGACGGGGCAUGGGGUUGAUGACGGGGCGUGGGGCUGUUGAUGGGGUUUGGGGUUGAUGACGGGGUGUGUGGUUGAUGACGGGGCAUGGGGUUUAUGAUGGGGUGUGGGAUUAAUGACGGAGUGUGGCGUUGAUGAUGAGGCGUGGGGUUUAUGACAGAGCGUGGGGUCAAUGACAGGGUGUGGGGUUGAUGACGGGGUGUGGGGUUGAUGACGGGGCAUGGGGUUUAUGACAGCUUGUGUCAGACGAAGCCACAUCAACUCAUUCUGAGCACCCCUUUCCUCAAAACAUAAGGAUGAGCAUGACCAAAAUCUCAAGACAUUUUUCCUAAGUCCUUAAGACGGAUGAACUUCUACAGGUAAGUAGGUAGAUUAAUAAACAGAGGUAAGGAAUGUUGGCAUGAAGAAGCUCCCUAGGCUGCUGUGUGGCUGAAGCUCUGACUGGUCAUGCUGGUUAAGGAUGCGUCUGAGCAAGAUCGGUCGCUGACAGGUAGGUGUGUAGAAAAUAACCUAUAUGUGGUGGUCCAUUUUCAGUUCUAAGUGCCUUCAUAUAGGUUUAAGCAGGCUAUGUGGAAAUAGAGAAAUAAAGAAGCAGAAAUGUACUGAGUCACCACCCUGCCCUCCUUCCUGCUUUCCCUUUCACCCAGCGGCCACGUGCCUAUCAGUAGGAGCCCCCUCAACUACCCUCUCCUCACCCCACCAAAGAAUUUAGUUUAGGCUAGCUUGCAACAUAAAUAAUUAUACCCUUUCUUAUCAGCUACGUGCAGCCACCAGGGCCAUAGUCAAAUGUUUGAAGAGUCCUGAGACAGUUGCAAUGCAUGGUGGGCUGCAAUAAAAUGCAGCAGAAAGAUCCUAAAGAACAGACUUGAAAUCUUAAUCCAACGACCAAUAGGUGAUGUCCAGGAAGAUCGUAACCCCAUUUACUCAGUCAAUGAGGAACUGGGGGAGGGACCUGCGCACUAGGGGAUAAAUUGCUUGUUGAAACUCUGCUGGGGGUGGCUGCAUGCCAGCCAGACACCCAGUCUUGCAAGACUGUCAUUGAAAAUCUCCGUUUUGCUGUUCUCCGGGUCUCUGCGUCCAGUCUUUGUGUUUGGACGGGUGAGUUUGUUUCUCACAGGUGCGACUCUGUCUCUAUUUGCAUCAGGUUCAGUUUCUUCCUGGUUGACCUUGUGGGUGUGAAUGUUGUCACAGACCUGCCGGGCCAUCUUUCUGCAAGAAGAUAAAGGAAGACCAGGAGUGCCUGCCGAACUCCUAUGGAGGAAGUCUAGGAGAGGAAGGGGACAGGGAGGAAGAUGGUGUCUGCAAACCAGGAAGCAGCCUUGCCAGACACAGGAUUGGCCACAACCUUGACCCCAGACUUCCAGCCUCCAGAACUGAAGGACUGAGUUCAUUUUCAGCGUGUCUGGCUUUUCCAUUUCUGUGGCCUGGGAAGGAAUUUCCCUGCACAGGCUCUCUUGCCUGCCACCAUGUAAGACCUGCCUCUGCUCCUCCUUCACCUUCCGCCAUGAUUGUGAGGCCACCCCAGCCAUGUGGAACUGUCAAGAGGCUGGGAGGUGCCCUCUGCCUUUCAAGAUCAGAGAGUAGCUGAUCCCCCUCCUGCCGUCAUUUAUGGACUGAAUAACCACAGAGAGUGUGAGGCCGGCGGAAACUUGGCAGUGCCUGUUUGUCAUUGUCAGUUUCAAAUACUUUUUAAUUUUGAAUAGUUGUAGAUUUUCAGAAGGGUUAUGAAGAUUGUGCAGGCAGUUUCUGCAAGCUGCUGCUAAUUUCCCUCAGCUUCCACGUCUUCGCUGCCAUGGUCCACCUGCAGCAGCCAAGAAAGCCGCGUUGCAUCGCCACGAGCUAAACUCCAGCCUUCGGAUUUCAGAGCUUCCAUCCAUGUCCUCUCUCUGCUGUGACCCCACCUGGGGUGCCACGUCGUGUCUGAUCCUCCUGUGUCCUCGGCUUCUCUGGUCUGUGACAUUUCUGUCUCUCCUUUGCCAUGACCCUGGCAGUGUGGAGGAGACUGUUGGGCACCCUGUGGAUGCCCCUCAGUCUGGGUUCAUCUGUCCUUUUCCUCAUGGUUAGCCUGAGGUGGUGGGCUUCCGCAAAUAAUACCAAGGAGGUGAAAUGUUCUUCCCCUCACGGCCUCUCAGGGGCAUAGAACAUCCUCUUGACUUCACAGGUGGCGUUAACCCGAUCGCUUGUGUGAAAAUAACGCAUCGGGAGGCACUAGGCUGAGGGCUUCAGUACCUCAGAAGCAAACCCAGUUCCUGCACACAGAAACCCCAUUCAGGGUAAGGGGUCCUGUCCUAGGAAAGAAAAUUCAAGUUUAAACAGAAACUGCCAGCUAACCUCAAAGCAGAGGCCGUGUGACUGCUGUUUCACUUCAAUCCAUCCUUUUUCUGUUCUUCCUUCCAAGAACACUGAUGAAGGUUUUCCUUGUGCUCCUUGGUAGAGCCCAAACUGCUGUAGUUCAGUGCUGCCCAGCUCAUGGAUUCCUGUCUCCUCAAAUAACUCUUUACACUUUCACGUGCCUACGUUUAUCUUCUAACACUUGGAUCAGGUGGCGUCCGCCAGGUGUCUUCGCUGUAAAGUCACUGUCUUCCCUUCCACCGCUCCACUCUUUGGGAUGAGUCACGAAGCCUGUGCUACCUUCAGGGGAGGGCUGGGGAAGAGUUAAACUCCAUCUCCUGGAGGGGCUGCUACAUAUGAUCAUAUGAUGUUAUUUGGAGUAAGAAAGAUUUGCCUCUUCUCCACAUUUACUUGUUUAUUCAAUUAUUUAUACCAGUAUGGGCUCAUGAUAUUUACUGUAUAUUUUUUAUUAUAAUUCAAUCAUCCAAUAUAUUAUUUCUUUUGUUGUUCAAAUUUUUCCAUCUUUGGCCAUUGGCAGCCCUUUCACGUUGGCAUCUGUGUCCAUUGGACAAUCCCCCAUCCUUUUGUUUUUUUGAAAAUUUCCUUACUUUUUGAUAUCAUGAGAUACUCCAGGCUCAUCUUGUCUUCUCUCUGAUCCACCCUAGAAUCAGCCGUGGUUCCCCUCAUUGGAGAAUGAUAUUUAGAAACAGAAACCUGGGUGCUGGGUGUGCUCAGUGGGACGAGGGUGUCACUGCCUCCAGCCCUGUCAGUGAAGAGAGCUGCGUAAUGUGCGUGCAGAUAAUACCCUAUGUGUGAACACAUACUUCAGAUUAUCUCUGGAUCUGUCCAUCCUUAUAUCGAUGCAAAGCUAAACAUGAGUUCACACUGAUGUCUCUGAUUCUCAUCUAGUACCACAGGGUUCAGUCUAAACUUCCUCUUAUUUACAAAUAACCUUCCCCUCCAACACAAGAAGCCUGCCUCCCAUGGUUUGCCAUCCGUUGACUUAUCUGUUCAAUCCCAGUGUAUGUGAAUUGUUAACUUGUACCCCUGUGGGAAAUUUACCAACAAAGGAAUGAUAUUAAUGUCCUUUUGUCUUUAGCUUUACAAUUUCCACUCAAAACAUCAUAUUCUGAAGUUACUCAGGUCAGCUUCCUGUUUCUUUAAGUUCGCCCUCAUUACUGUCCGCGCUUUGUGAUGUGCAGUCAUGUGUUACCACCCCAGUGCCAGAAAGAAGAGCUCCUCGUGUGUCCGCCGAUGGCCAAGCACUCCUCUCCCCAGCCCCUGGCAACUGCUAGUCCAAGCUUGUCCAACCCACAGCCCGUGGGCUGCAUGCGGCCCAGGAUGGCUUUGAAUGUGGCCCAACACAAAUUCGUAAACUUUCUUAACACCUUAUGAGAUUUAUACAUGGACUUUUUUUGCUCAAGAGCUAUUGUUAGUGUUAGUAUAUUUUAUGUGUGGCCCAAGGCACAAUUCUUCUUCCAGUGUGGCCCAGGGAAGCCAAAAGAUUGGACACCCCGGCCCUAGUCUGUUCAUUCCUAUAGUUUUAAUUUUUCCAAAGUAUCAUAUGAAUGGAAUCAUGUGAUAUGUAGCCCAUGAAUCAUGUAUAUGGGUUUUUCACUUAGUAGAGCACAUUUAAGAUUCAUCAUUGUUGCUAUGUGAAUCAAUAGCUGGUUCCUUUUAUCUCUCCGCAGCUCCUACUGCACUGAGAAGCACGUGUUCUCCAUUUCCCUGGGGGAGACCAUUGUAUUGGGCAGUUUGGAACAAAACACCAUGGACUGGGAGGCUUACACAACAGAAAUUUAUUUCUUGCUGUUCUAGAGGCUGGGAAGCUCAAGGUGCUGGCUGCAUAUUCAUUCUGAGGCCUCUUCUGAUGUGCAGGCAGCUGCCUUCUGACUUGUGCUCACAUUGGAGAGAGGGAGUCAGCUUUGGUGUCUCUUCUUGUAAGGACACUAACCCCAUUCACUAGGGCCCCACCCUCAUGACCUAAUCACCCCCAAAGGUCCUGUCUCCAGACAUAUCACAUGGGGCAGAGCUUCAAUGUACCAAUUCUGGGGGGUCACAAACCCUCCGUCCAUAGCAGACAUCUUGGUUGCUCCCAGUUUUUAGAGAUUAAGAAUAAAACAACUGUAAAUAUUUACAUGCAGGUUUUUGUGUGAACAAGUUUUCAUGCCAGCUGGGUAAAUAGCUAGGGCUGUGAUGGCCAGAUCCUGUGGUAAGAUUCUGUUCCACAUUCUAAGAAACUGCCCAACUGUCUUCCACAGUGGCUGUGCCAUUUUGCAGUUCUGACAGCAAUUCUGUAGCUCCACAACCUCAUCAGCACUGGGUGGUGGUGCUUGAAUUUUGCAUUUUAGCCAUUCUAAUUGGUGUGGGUAGUAGUUCUCAUUUGGGGUUCAAUUUGCUUUUUCCUUUUUUUUUUUUUUUUUUUGGCAGGCUGGACAUCUCCUAGAGGGCAAUAGAUUCUGGUUUUGUUUUUUUUUUUAGACAGAGUCUCAUGCUGUCACCCAGGCUGGAGUACAAUGGCAUGAUCUCUGCUCACUGCAACUUCUGCCUCCCAGGCUCAAGCAAUUCUCCUGCCUCAGCCUCCCAAAUAGCUGGGGUUACAGAUGCUCGCCACCAUGCCUGGCUAAUUUUUGUAUUUUUAGUAGGGAUGGAGUUUCACCAUGCCAGCCAGGCUGGUUUUGAGCUCCUGAACUCAAAUGAUCCACCCGCCUUAGCCUCCCAAAGUGCUGGGAUUACAGGCGUGAGCCACCGCACCUGGCUGAGGGCAAUCGAUUCUGAAUAAAUAGGUUGUGAAUUGGAGAUUUGCAUUAACCCUGCCCAGGGCCGGGCUGUGUUUGCUGUAGCUGUGUGUGUGUAUAACUUCAGAUCCCUCUGUGACCUCCUUUUGUCUCCCUUUGUGGUUUUGGGCUUUCCUUUGCUGUUCCUCGGACAGCCUGUGUCUCUCAGGUCUCUUAGCUGUAAUCCAGUUAUCCCAGAGCUUGUCAGUUAGAGGGGAGGGAAGGGUUGGGGAGGGGCAGUUCCCUGGUCUCUGUCUUUGGACUUCAUGGGGCCUGUGCCCCCAUCCUGCCAUGGCCUUCACAAGGGUUUCUGUCCUCGCUCCAGAGUGAGGUGCCACCCAUCCCCCAUCCCCCAC
rnacentral:lncRNA from 1 species